rnacentral:rRNA from 1 species
GUGAGGAAUAUUGGUCAAUGGACGAGAGUCUGAACCAGCCAAGUAGCGUGAAGGAUGACUGCCCUAUGGGUUGUAAACUUCUUUUAUAAGGGAAUAAAGUGAGGGACGUGUCCCUUUUUGUAUGUACCUUAUGAAUAAGGAUCGGCUAACUCCGUGCCAGCAGCCGCGGUAAUACGGAGGAUCCAAGCGUUAUCCGGAUUUAUUGGGAUUAAAGGGAGCGUAGGUUGACAUAUAAGUCAGCUGUGAAAGUUUACGGCUCAACCGUGAAAUUGCAGUUGAUACUGUAUGUCUUGAGUGUACAAGAGGUGGGCGGAAUUCGUGGUGUAGCGGUGAAAUGCUUAGAUAUCACGAAAAACUCCAAUUGCGAAGGCAGCUCACUGGGGUACAACUGACACUGAGGCUCGAAAGUGUGGGUAUCAAACAGGAUUAGAUACCCGGGUAGUCC